GUCUACGGCCAUAACACCCUGGACGCGCCUGUUCUCAUCUGACCUUAGAAGCUAAGCAGGGUCAGGCCUGGUUAGUACUUGGAUGGGAGCAAUUCAUU
rnacentral:rRNA from 1 species